AUGUACCUUCUUUUUGCAUUUCUAGGGCAGAGCCUAUGGCAGAGGAGAAAAAGGAGAAAAGGGUGAAGAAGGAGCCCCCGGCUUUCCUGGAUUGAAAGGUGAUAAAGGAGAAAAAGUAAGUCCGAGCCUUUAUUAAUUAUACUGUGAUAAGUUUAUAAAGCUAUUGAGGAAGGCUUAUGAAAAUAGAUCAUCUUAAGUCUUUUGUUUUAUCUCUG
rnacentral:lncRNA from 1 species